AUGAGUGCCCAGAUUCCCCCAGCAGAGAAGGGCCUGAAUUCGGGGCUGAGGUGCCAGGAAAGUUAGGCCUGCGGCGGGGCUGACCAAGCUGCCUUUGGUGUGGUGAGUGCUGCAGUCUGCAGUGUUUCCUCUGUGAGAAGGAGCAUCAUUGGCGGGAGAAGCCCUGGGACAAUAGGACUCCAACCCGGCUGCACCCCUUAGCCGCCCCAGCAAGGGCCCCAGGGGGCAUUCACCAGGGCCAGGUGCGAGGCAGAGGGCACCCAGGUAUGAGGCAGAGGGUGCCAGAAGGGGCCAGACCUGUAAAAUCAACUUGUGCCCGGGGUGCCAGAGAGGACUCACCUGGGGGGUAGCAAAGGGAGACAGCCCCUUGCUGUGUACCACAUCACUAAGGUCCGGGGGUUGCUGAAGGAAGAAGAGCAGGAUGAGACCAGGAGGAAGAAGAUGACUGGGAAAGUUGUGAGUUUCCUCCAAGCGGAGAGAAAGGAAGACACAUUCCAGUCGCCAGUGAAGGGGACUAUUAGGAAAUUGGACUGCAAACCCAGUCAGCCCUGGAAGGUGGUUUCCAUUUUCGGAAAUACUGCUGAUGGAAAGUCUCACACCUCAACCACACUUUCUUUUAUGGCCGGGAAGCCUUCAAAACCUCCCCUGCCCGGGAGCCCUGCACCGUGAGAGUAUGGGCAGUGCACAACCUGGGCCACGGAGCAGGAGUAACAGAUGUGGAGGGGCUCCCGGGGGCUACGGUGAGUCCCAGCCAGACAGCACAGCUGCUGCUGAAGGGCCUGGCCACCUCAGACCUCGCCAUCCUUGGAACUCAUGCAGAUGGGCUGCAUCAUGACCCCUUCAAGUGCCCUGGGGACGCCUCUGAAGCGUAUGUGAAGCCCUCUCCCAAGGAGCUCACGGCUGCCCUGCCCGCUGUGGCCUGGAUGUCCCCUGGUCCACGCCGGGCACUGCUGUUGUCAUUUUCCAGGACACUGAGCACACUCAUCUGCUGGGCUCUGAGCAGCCCUCGAGGUGCCAGAAAAGCUCGUCCAGGACCUGUUCUGGAAGCGGGGUGGCUUCUCUGAAGCCUUCAGUUCCAUUCACUACAAGGGAACGAGGACUUACCACUUCCCACGGAAUCCCCCGGGCUUCGGCAGGCUUUGCGCCCUCGAUCAUUCUCCCCGGCACCCUGGACCCUCCUCCUGGGGCCUCGGCUGUGGGGCUGCGUGUAAGCGCUGCGUGAAUCUUAGGAAAGGAGUACUUCAUGAAGUCAAGGCCGCUGCAGGUACUCCCACCGGCAGGACUACUGAGUUUAUACCCACAAGGCCUGUUGGGAGAAAGGCAAGGAAGCCAGCCGAGUGCCCAGGACAUUGGCUUCCACCCACUCCCACUGGAUGGGUCUCAAAAAAAUGUGCCUGGGGUCUGGGUAUGUGAUUGAAUGUCCUAACUGUGAUGUGGCCUAUCAUAGCCAGCAAUCCUGGUUUGGGAACCAAGAUUCUGAGGAUAGCUGGGUGCAGACAGAGACUGCGCCCACGUGGCCUGCAGUGAUGGAUUUCUGAAGGUCAACAACAGCACUGCCUAGCGCCUCUUGCACAGGAUGAACUUCACGGCUCAGUUGGUGUCUGAGCUUAGCCAUGGGCCCACCGGCGCUGUGACUUUCUGGCUGAUGGACCAGCUCGCCUGUGCCUUCUGGAGCUGCACCAGGUAAGCUCCAUCCUUCAGAGAUAGUGACCUCCGGCACCACUGCCGGGCCCAUGGGGAGGGCUUCUGUGACGGCUGUUCAUUCAAGACCCAGUCGGUGCCUGAGCGGGUGUGUGACCACCUGCUCCGAAGCCAGUGAGAAGUUACUGAGGCACAGGUGGACAGUGAAGGCAGGACCCUUGGGAGAUGGGCGAGGAUGUGCAGAAUGCAGGGCAGGGGGGGGCGGUGCACGGUGACAGCCACUGAUGUACCAGUAGGUGUGGUGAAGGGUGCGGCCGGGCUGGCAUGGCUGGGUGCUGAUUAGGAGAUUCCUGCUGGAAGGAGUUCAGCAACAAGCUUUCCUGUGGACAGGGCUUCUGUGAUGAGCACUCUCACGACCUCCAGGCUGUCCCUUCUGGAGACUAAGACCAGACUGUCUGAGUCUGAUUCCACUGCAGAUAAAACCCAGUGACCUUAGGGUGCCUGGGUGGCUCAGUCAGUUAAGCGUCUGCCUUCAGCUCAGGUCAUGAUCCCAGGGUCCUGGCAUAGAGCCCCGAGUUGGGCUCCCUGCUCAGCGGGGAGUCUGCUUCUCUCUCUGCCUGCCGCUCCCCCUGCUUGUGCUCUCUCUCCCACUCUGUCUCUCUCAAAUAAAUAAACAAAAUCUUUAACAACAACAACAACAAAAAGCCCAGUGACCUUGAA